rnacentral:rRNA from 1 species
UACGUAGGGUCCAAGCGUUAAUCGGAAUUACUGGGCGUAAAGCGUGCGUAGGCGGUCUCGCAAGUCCGAUGUGAAAUCCCCGGGCUUAACCUGGGAACUGCGUUGGAAACUAUGAGGCUAGAGUGCGGCAGAGGGGGGUGGAAUUCCAGGUGUAGCAGUGAAAUGCGUAGAGAUCUGGAGGAACACCGAUGGCGAAGGCAGCCCCCUGGGUUAGCACUGACGCUCAUACACGAAAGCGUGGGGAGCAAACAGG